AGAAAUCAUACCCAUCUUUGCAGGGCUGUCUUUUAGAAAACAGAACCAUGAAAUCCAGAUUUUUGCUUCUUUGACUGUGGUGCAUUUAAUGUGAUAAAUUGUUUUCUCAACCUCUUCACAGCUCCUGGAGGACAUAUGGAAGGAUGGCCGGCGAGCAGCCAGAAAACAUGAAAAGCUGUUGUUUUGACCUUAAUCUCAACUUUUAAACACAGCAUAUCAGCAUCCUCGUGCACAUUGAUUCCUACCUGCAAAACACAACACACAGACUCAUGACUGGAACUUCUGAUCACACUGCCAAGUCACUCUUGUUGAGUCUCGAGUCUGUCCUCUGGCUGACUCUAUCAUUGGAUCCUUCCCACCGGAGACACUCAGUGUGUUUGGGCAGUGAUUUUAAUAUCAAACGUUGCAUCAUUUGUUCUUUCAGGAUGUAUUGCCAAUGAACAACCAAUCAAGUUUGUUUGGUUAAGUUAUUAGAAGUACAGUCUCCUGGAGUAAAGUGAGGUGUGACAUAAUAGCGUGCAGAUCUCUUGAUAC